UGCGCAGGCGGUUUUGUAAGACAGAGGUGAAAUCCCCGGGCUCAACCUGGGAACUGCCUUUGUGACUGCAAGGCUAGAGUGCGGCAGAGGGGGAUGGAAUUCCGCGUGUAGCAGUGAAAUGCGUAGAUAUGCGGAGGAACACCGAUGGCGAAGGCAACCCCCUGGGCCUGUACUGACGCUCAUGCACGAAAGCGUGGGAGCAAACA
rnacentral:rRNA from 1 species